AUGAUUUUUUUUGGUUUUUCCCCCGGUCUCUCUCCUCUUUCAACUCUCUUUUCUACCUCACUCUCCCGUGUCUCUCUCUCUCGGACCUCAUCUCUCUCCCUCGCUGCAACUCUUUUUCCCCGAUCAACACUCAGCCACGCCAUCUGCUGAGAACUCACCAUCUAAACCUCGUCCCUUUCCUCUUCCUCUUGCCUCUGCGCAACUCGGCGAAACCAAGAAAAUAACCUCCGGCGAGUCCGACGGCUUUCGAGGCCAUUUCCGGCCAAACCACGGCGAGUUGGCCGGCGUGCAAGUUUCCGGCGACCUCCGAGGAUUUCGAGGCAAUUUCCGGCCAAAAAACGGCGAGUUAGACGUCGUGUGAGGGGCAAUUAUUGUGACGUUUCCGUCUUCGCUAGUGGCGCAGCUUUUGGCAACUAAGUACUGUGAGUGGACCCCUUCUAAAAUGCAUGUUUUAUAGUAGAAAUGCAUACAUAAAAAACAUGAUUUAAUAGUUAUGUUUUAUGAAGUACUUUAUGAGAUGAUAUGCUUACUGAGGCUACUUUGAAUUAUU
rnacentral:sRNA from 1 species